rnacentral:rRNA from 1 species
CCUACGGGAGGCAGCAGUGAGGAAUAUUGGUCAAUGGACGAGAGUCUGAACCAGCCAAGUAGCGUGAAGGAUGACUGCCCUAUGGGUUGUAAACUUCUUUUAUAUGGGAAUAAAAUGUUCCACGUGUGGGAUUUUGUAUGUACCAUAUGAAUAAGGAUCGGCUAACUCCGUGCCAGCAGCCGCGGUAAUACGGAGGAUCCGAGCGUUAUCCGGAUUUAUUGGGUUUAAAGGGAGCGUAGGGGGAUUGUUAAGUCAGUUGUGAAAGUUUGCGGCUCAACCGUAAAAGUGCAGUUGAAACUGGCAGUCGUGAGUACAGUAGAGGUGGGCGGAAUUCGUGGUGUAGCGGUGAAAUGCUUAGAUAUCACGAAGAACUCCGAUUGCGAAGGCAGCUCACUGGACUGCAACUGACACUGAGGCUCGAAAGUGUGGGUAUCAAACAGGAUUAGAUACCCGUGUAGUC